rnacentral:lncRNA from 1 species
CCUGGUAGGCCCGCCCCUUCGCGAACAGCGGCCUCCCUCGGGGGCCGGCCACCAGCCACCGGCCUGGGCUGCUCGCGUCCCCUGGACCCGCGGGCCAGCCCGGAGCCGCUGCCCUAGGCGGCUGUUCCGCGUGCCUGCAGACAGACAAGGCCCUGCACUUUCCUUCUCACGUGUUUUCGGGACUGGCCUCUCUCCUUACUUUCUCUCUGCUGCAUCCUUAUUCUCCCGGCUCUGGUUCUCCCAAUUCGUUGCAAACAGUGCAUUGACAAAGGCAUGCUGAGACUGCCCGGCAGGGCUUUCCGCGGAGAUGGGAGCGGUUCCCGGAGGCUCUGGAGGAGGGUUUUGGGGAGGGGCGCGGCGCGCAGGCCGCCUGGACUGAGAGCGGCUUCCGGGCCCUCAUUCCCACCAGCCUCGCCUCUUCUCCACGCAUCUGUUUUCAUUUUCUUAGUGUUUAAACUUGAUUCCGCCCCCACCUCCGUGUCCUCACACCACUCCCAUGAAAGACAGAAGAUGGAUUUCAUCUGUGUCCUGAAAGAGGGCAGGGAACACUCAGUGACUGGAGACCCCAGAGAAUGCGAAGUGCGAGCUGUCGCGGGAUGUCUCUGCAGAAAAGGAGAAAUGGAAGAUUCUUUGAACUGACUGCACCAGGAUUACACCACGGUGACCCCCGUGACCUGCACGUACACCUCCAGGAAAGAAGAAUGACUAGCUGCUGCAUUGCCUGGUUAACUGACCUUGUGACAUUUCACCAUUGCACCUGUCCCAACUGUUCUGUCUCAACUGUUCUGUCUCAACUGAUAAGCCAACCUUGUGACACUGGACUUUGGACUUUGUGACACCCCCCCACGACGACACCCUCCCAGCUUACAAAAACUGCCCUGAACUGUAACUUUCCACUGCCUACUGCAAACCUAUAAAACCAGCUCUUGCC